rnacentral:rRNA from 1 species
UACAGAGGUCUCAAGCGUUGUUCGGAUUCAUUGGGCGUAAAGGGUUCGUAGGCGGUGCGGCAAGUUGGGAGUGAAAUCUCUGGGCUUAACCCAGAGGCUGCUUCCGAAACUGCUGUGCUUGAGUGUGGGAGAGGCGCGUGGAAUUGCAGGUGUAGCGGUGAAAUGCGUAGAUAUCUGCAGGAACACCCGUGGCGAAAGCGGCGCGCUGGACCACUACUGACGCUGAGGAACGAAAGCUAGGGGAGCAAACAGG